UCAGGAUUUUGCCAAGGAGAUUCUGAGAAUGCAGAGUAGGUGUGGCCGUAUUGUUCGGCGUUUGAAAUUGUGAGAUUUUCAAUAGUUGGAUUUGGAACACAACCCACAUGGUUUUUCAGCGGUUGAAAGUGCAUGGUGCAUGUAACUGUAGAACAUUUUAAGACAAUGUGAAGCACGUCCAAAUUCUUCGCAACAGAAACUUUGGACAGCACUUCAGUAUCAUUGUUUAGGCUUUCCUUGUGUUGCAUAUGCUGAUGGAAGAGAGACAAAUUUCUGCUUUUCAUGGAUGUUUUAGUUUGGAAACAUUCUUCUAGAAGCUCAUUCAGGCAUGCAUCCAAUGAUGGGCUUGUAACAUAAGAUAAUUUCAGAACUUGAUGAAAGGAUGCGGGAUUUGAGAAACGAGCUACAGUCAUUUGAAGGUAAAUAAUAUGAUGAAAGUCAUAAGAAAAAGGCCUUAGAAGCUUUGAAACGGAUGGAGAGCUGGAAUCUAUUCAGUGACACGCAUUAGGAAUUCCAAAAUUACACAGUUGCACGUGAUUCUUUUCUUGCACAUCUAGGUGCAAUGCUGUGGGGAUCUAUGAGACAUAUUGUGUCACCUUCGGUUGCUGAUGGUGCCUUCCAUUAUUAUGAGAAGAUAUCCUUUCAGUUGUUUUUCGUGACACAGGAGAAAGUUAAGCACAUUUAUAAAGGGCAGCCUUUCCUCAUUGACAGUUCCUUCUCAGAAACCAAUGUUCAGUCAGCACAUGUUGCCACUGUCGGAGGAUCCUGCCUUAGCAAAUGGCCUUUGCAGUUGCACGACGAGCAGCUGCUGUACCUUUACUGCUUAUCAAUGGAACCUACCGAAAGACAGUUCGAACAUAUCUUGAUUCUUCUAUUCUGUAAUAUCAAUUGCAAAGGCUGAAUAAACAUGGUUCUCUUAAAGAUAGGCAUACACAUUCCAGGUCUGUGCUCGAGGUUCCAAUCUUUUGGUUCAUCUACAGUGAACCACUUUUACUAGACAAAUAUUUUCAGGCAAAAGCUCUCUCUGACAUGAUUAUUGUUGUUCAGUCUGGGUCCUCCUUGUGGGAAAGCCUACAUUGUAAUGGGCAUUCACUUCUAUUGGACUUGAGAUAAGAUUGAGAAACCUAUCUUCCAACUUUCCAAAAUUGCUUAUUCAUCUUUCUUGCAAUCGUAUUUUAUUGAUUUCAUUGGGAAAGGUUAGGGGAAGAGGUGAACUUUUAUAAAAAGUUAUAUCGAACAAUUGUGAUAUUACCAUUACACGCAUGUGUGUUCAUUUUCUUUUUAUGAUGACAAAAAAGAAUAAAAUUAUUAUUAUUAUUAUUGUAACU